rnacentral:lncRNA from 1 species
CUUACAAUGAUUUACACAGAAGCGGAGGGGAUACAUUUAUCAUCACAUUUUUACAUGUCUUACGUGUGUCAGCAGUUUUGUGACUUGGUCACCAGGCGCAGGGACUGUGUGUUGUCAUGUGCUUUUCGGUCACUCGGGACCGGACAGGACAGAACCGGACGAGACACUCCGACUACUUGCUGAGCUACAAAAAAAAGUCACGUUCACUGCUGUCCGAGACGCCACGUCAUCUAAGAAGGUAUCGAAAAAACUAUACAAAUAAACAGCAAGUGCGAAAUGUCUACAUGAUGAUGUAUCCGCUGUUUUGGGGCUCUCCACACAACAGAGUCUUUUUUUUUUUUCCAAACGGACGGAUUAGGAUCACCAGCACAGCAGCUGAGCAGCCGCGCCGGGUGUCUGGUUCCGCACUCACUCACUGUCAGUGACUGUCCAACUCGAAGGGUAAAAAUUUCUCUAUUCAUCAUUUCCGAUUAUUGAAAUCUUUAUUCGAUAAAUCAAUGGAUCCUAAGAACUGCCACGCCAGUAAUAAAAUCUAAAAUAAAACACAACUGAACGAGUAAAGCCUGAAGAAACUGCGGAACUCCCCACCUCUACUGACGCAGCGCUACAAUAGCGUCUGAACAAGCGACAUUCCCAUUGCCUUAGUUUAAUGACGUCACGCCACUGUAUUGGCUGUCCUAAAUUCUCCUUCAACCAAUGAAAAACAGGGAGACGAACUUUUGAACGUAACUCCUUUUCCUGCGUGAAAAAAUAAAUGCACAGCAAGAAGUUAUCCGUGUAGCACAAGGAGUUUCUGUUAUAUAUUUUAUUAUUUCAAGCUGACUCGACUGCUGGGAGAUGAUGGCCGAUACCUGCGUUGUGGGAGACACAAGUUGUUCUGCUCCCUCCACUAAGGCAAGUGAGAAGGAGAACCUGCAGGAUCCCUGUUCCUGUCUACAACAACCGUCACAUCCUUCCUUGACGUCUCAAGUGUCUAAGAAAUCUCCCCCUUCCCUGCUAUCCUUGUCUCGGCGACCCUUGAGAGAGAACAGGAACCUUCAAGAACCCAAUGUUAACUCAGCAGUAAUAGCAGAAGAUGGGAAAAACAGCCAGGAAUGCAUUUCGCUGUCUGCGGGAAGAUCUCUGAAAUGUCCAGGAGCUACAUAUCAGGUGUUGAAUGUUACCAUGACUGGUCCAGCUGUUGAUAGCUUCACUGCUAGUCAGGAAAACGUUAACAGUAGCUAUGUUAAGAACAUUAAAGAUCCACCUCGUUCAAUGACAGGUGAUUCAGCAAGCUUAAGCAACCGUCAGUCAGUUUUGGAUGUUCCAAAUCGGACCUGGCUAAAUCCUGAGGUCACCUUUUUUCCAUCGGUUCAAGAAAGGUUGGAGAAGAACUCUGAUUUAAAGGAUCAGGUGGGUUUGCAAUUGUCCUGUAACAAUGGAAGCCACCAGCAAACAUUUGAAUCUCUUGCAAGCAACCACAGUUCUGCUGUGUAUUCCCUCAAACAGUUUCUCAAGAGUGAACAUCGUAAAUGCCUCACCCCUAUAUGGGAGAUGUCUCCCCUCAGGGAAGGAGAGACUGUAAUGGGGGGUGAGGGGGAUAGGAAUAUGGAGAAGAUGGAGUCCCUUUUUCAAAGUUUCUUUGCACAGGAAUGUGCUAACGUGAUUGAUAAUAUCCGCCGAACAUCCCUCCGAGGGGCUGGGGGACAAUUUUGUGCCAAAGGUUGUUUGGAUACUCUUGAAGUCACUGGUAUUGAGGAGGAAUCACUUCCCAAUUGGACUGGCUUAAACUCUACUCUGGAAUGGUCUUGUUUUCAACCAGAAAAAGAGGCUGUCAGAUCUAACGCUGUGUGCCUGGACAGCAAGGAGAAGGUGAAGGCUGCUAUGCCAGCAGAGAAAGUGGAGGAAGUUUCAGAGGCAUCAGGAGGUUGCAGUGCUAGUUUUAGUUCAAAGGAAAGCUUUGUUUCUGUCGUCAUGGGAAAGACUCAGUCUAUUCAUGAAAGUCAUGUCUUGGAAGCUUCUCUGAAGGACACUCACAGCCUGUGUGAUGACAGCAAUUGUAAGGGAAAGACAUUUCUAAAGAGUGAUGUUGAGAACACUAAUUGGACCUAUGUCCUUCCCAGUGACAAUCCUCAAGCAGGGCAAAAUGUCACUGUCAACCUGACAGACCCCAAAACACUUUUUUCUGACAUUGAAGCUGACAAGAUGAGGUCAAAGUCUAAUUGCAAUGACACAUAUGAGUUGCAGCACGUUCCAGAAGCUGUGAGAAAAGACUGUGAUGGAAUCAGAGAGACCGAGGAGCAGGGUUUGAUGAAAGUGACCCCCAGUUCUUCUGAGAAUGCACAUCUUGCUGAGAGUAUAUGUAAUGACAAUGUGGAUGCAGAGGACAGAGUUGGCAUCAAUGGGAUAAGCUUCAAUGACUCCUUGGAUUUCAAGGAUAGGUUUCUGGUCACCUCAACCCCUAUGCCCAUGCCCAAGAGUUUUCACUUUACGAAAGAUCCUGAUGCUGCUAUGCUGGAGCAGUAUGAACAGCACUCAGUUGUUGAUGCUGUUGCAGGAUGUUUAAAAGGGGACACUAUGAAUUUGGGUGGUGCUGAUGGGAGUGUUACUGCAUCGACUGCUACAGAGCCCCCAGCUGUAAAUGUCAAGGCUACUAAAAGUUUCCCCAAACCUACUACUCUUGCAGUAAGGCAGGACCCUAGUGCCAGUUCUUCAAAGACCUCUGGACAGAGAAAGUUUCUCUUGCGUUCCUCGGCCAUCCAUUCCAGUGCCAAGACGCAGCUCCCAUCUGCACAGGCUUAUGCAACUCGCCGGAUGUCCUUGCCAGCUUUACCGCAAACAGCCCCCCAGGUUUCAGCUGCUCCUGCCCCACCAUCUCAUCCCAGUGCACCAGUUUGCUUUGAAAAGAAGUCUGAACUAACCUCUGGCUCAUCCUGUGGGAGUGUGAAAACAGCCAGUUGUUUGGAGACCCCUGGGGUUGCAGCACCUGGGGCAAAAAGACACAGUAUUACUGAAGCAAAGCACCUGACUACCUCUGGUCUCCAGAAGCCCAGAGUCUCUGGCUUGCUAACAUGUACAACUAGGUUGGGCCUAAAGCCUCAUGGUGUCACUGUACCUACAGAAGGAAUGAAGGGAAGGAGUUUACAGCUGCCCACUGCGGCUCAGAAGAAACCUCACAGCAACACGGAUGCCUGCUCUGCUUCAAAGAGGAGGAGAAUUGAUGCACAUUCUACCAGUACUGAAGCACCAAAGGGCAGUGCCAAGCUGGCAGGAGGCCCACAGGGUCUAAGGAAGCUCACAAAAUGCCUAAAAGACCUGGAAUUGAAGUCUAAGCCUUCAGAGACAUCCUGCAUCACUAGGGGGACUCCAAAGGUACCAGCGAGACCAGUAAGAAGCACCCAAGGAUUGAGGAGACCAGCCACUGGACUCAAAGGCCUGGAAUCAAAACUGAAGAAUUCCGAGCCUGGCCCUCUAUUGAAUGUUCCAGCCUCUAUCGCAGAUGUGAGUGGCAACUUGGCUUCCACCUCAGAACAUGAGAAAUGUGCAGCAGCCACGGUUGCAACGGACACAUUACAGCAGACAGACUGUGGGAACUGUGUGCGGUAUCGAGAGGAAAUUGCAAGGCUGAAAGCAGCCCUUCGGCUGAUUAGUGGCAAAGAUAAAAAAAAAAUGCAGGUAGGUUGCUAAUGGUUCCUGAAAGCUGAUGUUUCAGCCCUUUCAUCUGUGCUGUGAAAAUGGGACCAAAGUGUGAACAUUGUCGUUCUUAUUGUCUUUUUUUUUUUUCUUCUUCUUCUUCAUAUAAAAUGCCUCUGUUCUUUUUGCAGUGAGAUUGUUUCAGAAUGGAAACAAUGAAGCAUGAAGAUAUUUUCGUUUCUGGUUGAAGCAUUCUUUGAAUUCAAACAAGUAGAAGUGGCUUUUAAUAUUGAAAGCUAUUAUAUACUGCACAUUAUAGCAGUUUUGAACUGGAUGUUGACAUGCGCACGUGUUUCAUCUCCCCUAUGUGGCUCCAUGUAAAGUUCGUGCAAAUACAUUCUAAUGUUCUGAUACAAGUCUCUUUUGGUUUUCUGAGAAAAGCUG